rnacentral:tRNA from 1 species
GGUAGCAUGGCCUAGCGGUUUAAGGUACCAGUUUUUUUGGAGGCGUGGGUUCGAGUCCCACGGCGCCUC